CUGGGGAUAUAGCUCAGUUGGUAGAGUGCUUGCCUUGCACGCACAAGGCCCUGGGUUUGAUCCCAAGCACCAGA
rnacentral:tRNA from 1 species